rnacentral:rRNA from 1 species
GUUCCCAUCCCGAACACGGUAGUUAAGCUUCUCUGCGCCAAUGGUAGUUGGGGGUUUCCCCCUGCGAGAGUAGGUCGUUGCCGGGC